rnacentral:rRNA from 1 species
AUGAAGCCAAUGUUUCAAUUGAUCUUGACUUACAGGGGUGAUGACAUAUUCGUGCGUGUGUGCAUGUAUUUCUCCGCCACAAACAGUUGGAGUGCCCCCAUCAAGUGUUGCAAGGGCAUAAAUGCCGCUAUAUCACAUGAGUUAUUUAGUAGGAUUUCGAUCAAAGUUAACAAUAGCUUGCCGUGGUCUUGGCCACGACCACCAAUCCCAUUCAUUGCCGAAGAAGGAAAGCUUUCGUUUGUUAAUAUCCAACACCAUGGCUUGCUAGAGCUUUGCACCAAGAAUCAACAAGAGUGCGGUAAUCUUAACCAUGAGUGCGACGAUGAAUGGCUACACUCUCAGCUCAUGGAUCUUGGGAGCGAAAGGAUAGAUCUUGUUUUCUUUGCAGAAGCAAGGGUGCUUUGCUCAUCAAGCAAGGCAGCGCCUUCUUCACAAUCGACCUCAAGAGUAAGAAAAAAAUCGUUGAUUAAGCUCAAUGAAGAUGAAAUAGAGCAUGUCAGGGGCGCGAGGGUGUUUAAAUUAGGAUAUUGUACUAGUAGUAGUUGUUGA